GACGAACGCUGGCGGCGUGCUUAGCACAUGCAAGUCGAACGGAAAGGCCCUGCUUUUGUGGGGUGCUCGAGUGGCGAACGGGUGAGAAACACGUGAGUAACCUGCCCUUGACUUUGGGAUAACUUCAGGAAACUGGGGCUAAUACCGGAUAGGAGCUCCUGCUGCAUGGUGGGGGUUGGAAAGUUUCGGCGGUUGGGGAUGGACUCGCGGCUUAUCAGCUUGUUGGUGGGGUAGUGGCUUACCAAGGCUUUGACGGGUAGCCGGCCUGAGAGGGUGACCGGCCACAUUGGGACUGAGAUACGGCCCAGACUCCUACGGGAGGCAGCAGUGGGGAAUAUUGCACAAUGGGCGGAAGCCUGAUGCAGCAACGCCGCGUGCGGGAUGACGGCCUUCGGGUUGUAAACCGCUUUCGCCUGUGACGAAGCGUGAGUGACGGUAAUGGGUAAAGAAGCACCGGCUAACUACGUG
rnacentral:rRNA from 1 species